CCGGCCACAACGGCUUCCUGGCGUGGCGCGGCAAAACCUGAACGGAGCA
rnacentral:ncRNA from 1 species